CCUUCAGAAUUAUUCGCGCUUUUUGACGUCAUUUAACAGUGAAAUUUUGGUGUCUAAAUCCCUGCAAUAUAAAAAUUCAUCAAUCAUCUUCGGGGGCGUCAAGAUGCAGCAUAAACUAGAAAGCAAUGUUUUCUCCCAACAUGUAGGUACUUAAUAACAAUUCCCUAUCCAAAAGUAGUGCCGAUUCAUAAUAAUAAGAAUUUAGUUUACCAAAU
rnacentral:lncRNA from 1 species